ACGAACGCUGGCGGCGUGCUUCACCCCUGCAAGUCGCACGGAAAGGCCCUGCUUGCAGGGUGCUCGAGUGGCGAACGGGUGAGUAACACGUGGGUGAUCUGCCCCUUACUUUGGGAUAAGCCUGGGAAACUGGGUCUAAUACUGGAUAGGACCAUGCUGUAGGUGGUGUGGUGGAAAGAUUAGUUUCGGUAAGGGAUGAGCUCGCGGCCUAUCAGCUUGUUGGUGGGGUAAUGGCCUACCAAGGCGUCGACGGGUAGCCGGCCUGAGAGGGUGGACGGCCACAUUGGGACUGAGAUACGGCCCAGACUCCUACGGGAGGCAGCAGUGGGGAAUAUUGCACAAUGGGCGCAAGCCUGAUGCAGCGACGCCGCGUGGGGGAUGACGGCCUUCGGGUUGUAAACUCCUUUCAGCCAUGACGAAGCCCUUGUGGUGACGGUAGUGGUAGAAGAAGCACCGGCUAACUACGUG
rnacentral:rRNA from 1 species